UACGAGGGGGGCGAGCGUUGUUCGGAAUUAUUGGGCGUAAAGGGUGCGUAGGCGGUUUGGUAAGUCCGUUGUGAAAUCCCUUGGCUCAACCAAGGAACUGCUUCGGAUACUGGCGUGCUUGAGGCUAGUAGGGGUCACUGGAACUGACGGUGGAGCGGUGAAAUGCGUAGAUAUCGUCAGGAACGCCGGAUGGUGAAGACAGGUGACUGGGCUAGUUCUGACACUGAGGCACGGAAAAGCGUGGGGAGCGAACAGG
rnacentral:rRNA from 1 species